rnacentral:lncRNA from 1 species
AUGAAGCCAUGGUGGGCCAGGGACUGGGCGUUACCCAGCAGGGGGCAGUGUGUGUGUCCUGGGGAGACCAAUGCCUGCCUGGAUGCAGAGAGGGCUUGUAGAGAGUGCCCGAGAGGCCUGGAGGAGACUUGGGACCUGCUUUCACAACUGCAGAGCCUCCUGGGGACACACCUUGACAAAGGUGACUUUGGUCAGCUCUCUGGUCCAGAACCCCCAGGUGAGGUGGGCAAAAGAGCACCUGAUGGAGCCUCCCGGUCCUCUCUUGAGCCUAUGGAAGAUGCUGCUCCCAUUAUCUACCUGUUAGCUUCCCCAGAUCCUCGAAUCAAGCAUCCUCAGGAUCUGGCCUCCACCCCAUCACCAGGCCCAAUGACCACCUCAGUCUCCUCCCUAAGUGCCUCCCAGCCACCAGAACCUUCCCUUCUCCUAGAACGCCCCUCACCCAAGCCACCUGCACUUUUCCUCACCCACCACACACCCCUGAUCCUCUGGCCUGCUCUCCUCCUCCUCCAAAAGACUUCACUGCUCCUCCCCUGUGGGACUCCACUCUGA